rnacentral:rRNA from 1 species
UACGGAGGGUGCAAGCGUUAUCCGGAUUUACUGGGUUUAAAGGGUGUGUAGGCGGGCAUUUAAGUCUGGGGUGAAAUCUCCGAGCUCAACUCGGAAACUGCCUUGGAUACUAUUUGUCUUGAAUUAUGUUGAGGUUGGCGGAAUAUAACAUGUAGCGGUGAAAUGCAUAGAUAUGUUAUAGAACACCGAUUGCGAAGGCAGCUAAACUAAGCAUAUAUUGACGCUGAUGCACGAAAAGCGUGGGGGAUCAAACAGG